rfam:Marinobacter sp. HL-58 ITZY_scaf_107, whole genome shotgun sequence.
GCGGCUGUAGCUCAGCUGGAUAGAGUACCUGGCUACGAACCAGGCGGUCGGAGGUUCGAAUCCUCCCAGCCGCG